rnacentral:tRNA from 1 species
GUACUAUUAGUUCAGUUGGUUAGAACGUCGGAUUGUGGUUCCGAAGGUCGUCAGUUCGAAUCUGACAUGGUACC